rnacentral:tRNA from 1 species
GUUGGUGUGGCUCAGUGGAUAGAGCAUCAGCCUGCAGACUGAAGGGUCCCAGGUUCGAUCCUGGUCAAGAGCA